rnacentral:rRNA from 1 species
GGAAGCAUGUGGUUUAAUUCGAUGAUACGCGAGGAACCUACCUGGGCUCGAACGUAAGAUGACUGUAGUGAAAGCUUACAUCUCUUCGGAGCAUUUUACGAGGUGCUGCAUGGUUGUCGUCAGCUCGUGCCGUGAGGUGUCGGGUUAAGUCCCAUAACGAGCGCAACCCCUACCUUUAGUUGCCAUCAGGUUAAGCUGGGGACUCUAAAGGAACUGCCUACGCAAGUAGUGAGGAAGGCGGGGAUGACGUCAAAUCAGCACGGCCCUUACGUCCAGGGCUACACACGUGCUACAAUGGCCGAUACAGAGGGCAGCUACCUGGUGACAGGAUGCAAAUCUCCAAAGUCGGUCUCAGUUCGGAUCGGAGUCUGCAACCCGACUCCGUGAAGUUGGAUUCGCUAGUAAUCGCGCAUCAGCCAUGGCGCGGUGAAUACGUUCCCGGGCCUU